rnacentral:lncRNA from 1 species
AAAUGUUUCUGUCUCCCCAAAUGUAAAAUUUGAUUCUCAGACACUCGGGUGGGAAAUUCGAGGGCCUUCACUGGGCAGGAUGGUAACGUAAGUAAGUGGAAAACCUAGAUCACAGUGAAAAGCGUGUAGACGGUGGCAAACUGCCAAGUGCAUUCUUCUUUGAAUGGUGUUGAAAGCCAAAUACUUUAAAACGCAGUGCACACCGAACAAACUACUCCUGCAACGUGAAUUUGGCCCUGAAUACAACCAUGGGAACCCCGGGACUAGGUGGUCCCCAAGGCCCUGGCUGGGCUGCAUUUUCAGUAAAAAUGUAAUUGCAGUCACCAGGAGCCAGGCGAAGGAACUGAGACGUGAUGACAAGAUACCAAGUCACGAUCUGAAUUUCAGCUGUCAAAAAUAACUGGACAUUUAACGCACUGACCAAGGUAUGUUGGAAUUACGGGCAUUACUUGACAACAUUUGCCUUAUUUAUAUAUUACAAAUUAUAUAAUUUUAUAUGAUAUUGCUUACAUUUUUGAGUAGGUCAUAAUAUCAAUUCAAUUAUAAGUUACUUUCCCCACUUGAAAAAUGUGUUCUAAAAAUGCACAUUUGCAAAGUUUGGCUAGAAUAAAAAAAGAAGGAUAGCAAAGCAUACACAGCACCUUAAGUUCAGAAUGGUGAGACACGAGAUGGUCUUUGAUACUGAAUAUGUAAUAUUUUAAAAGACAUUUGGGACAACAUAUAAUGGACUGAUUAUGUGAAGAAGUUUAUAAUGUGGGAAAGUUUGGGAAUAUAUUAAGAUAUCGCCAUCACCCACCCUCACCCCUAACCUUUCUUGAGGAUAUUAAUCUCACGAUGAUAAUUUUUGAUCGGCGCUAAUUCACAACUGGUCUCUUCCGUCUUAAGCACAAUCUUAAAGAUGCCACAUAAAUGGGCUUCAAUGAGGGGAGAGACCUUCUAAAUUCCAUUCUCUAGGAGAUGGAGAAAUGUGUAAGGAAAUGACAUGAAUAAUAAUACUGUUAUACGAGAUCAUGAUAAUUAGAACAAAAGGCCAUAGAAUAUAUUUCAAAGACUCUUAAUUCUAGUGAGUUCCUAUAUACACCCAGGGAAAAAUCCAGAAUUUUUUCAUUCUUUUCAAAAUGAAUACAUAUGAAAAUGUCCUGAGUGACAAGAAACCUGCAAACAUGUCAAAAUAUGUGAAUAUUUCUGAAGCACAUCUGAAGUGAACAGGAGCGUACAUGAAUACAUCUUAAUGAAUAAUAUUUAACGCGUGAUGCUUAACACAGAGCUUGCGGCGCCUAGGAUAGUGCUUUGCAAUCGAGGCAUCGCAAUACAUUUAAGUGGUUGGUCCACGUAACAAACUUGUUGAGAACUGAUUAAUAAAUCAAUACUUCUUGCCUUGCCAACGCUAGUACUUAAUCUAUUGGAAAAGGAGGGCAGCCCACAGGAACAGGGCUUAGGCCAGGCAGAAAUUAUUGAUGUUUGCAUACUGGAGGAUGGGACUUAAAAUAUACUUGAAUUCAAAUUAUCCUGCGAAUCUAUUUCUCCGUACCCGAAGGCAAGUGGAAAAAUAGAGUGCCUUCAAGAGACAGGGAACACCAACAGCGCCUCCUUAUCAGUGUGGAUAGUUCCUAUGGAAUCACCAGUUCCUAUGGAAUCCCUAAUUUAGUAUCUAAACUAUAAAGGAAGUAUGUCUGGGGUUAGGAAAUUGGCAUUAUAAUAUUGACUGACUGUAUGACCUCAAAUUCCCCAGUCAUGUGUUUUUACUUCCACCGUCAGUAAAAAAGACAUAAUACUCUUAUGAGCUACAAAAAUGCUGACUAACGAAAUGUAAUGAACACAUUAGUGAUGCUUUCCGAAGUUCCAAAUGCCAUAUUAAAAGCGAUCAAAUGUCUAUUUACAUUAUGGGUUAAAUAUAUAAGCAUUCUAUAUUAAAAGUCUUUAAAUAUAUAAGUAGGGCAAAGGAGUUCUGUGGUUCAAUUGACAAAACAUACGUAUAUCAAAACGUCCUCAGCCAAUAAACGAUUUUAUACACAAUGGUUAUAUCUAAGGGAUAAUCUAAGAAGUGGAACGAGAAUUACACGGACGGUAAACUUUCUUCACUGCCCCUGACCCAUAUAACUUACCCAGACGUAUCCUGGAGCGCUCGUAAAAUAUCAGUUUACCUCUUAUUACAUGGAAUUAAAGCCUUAUCACAGAUACGAUGCGAUUAUAACAGAAAUCAUGACAAGGAGAGUGACCUUUCUCUUUGCUUAUAAGACACUGCAAAAUGAAGAUUUGUACAUUCUCACUUAAAAUCGUCAGGAGGAAUGUACUUAAGAGCUCAGAAGUAAGGUCAAGAUUAACAACAGGCUUAAUCUUUAAGUAUCUUUUUUAAAAUUGUACGUGCAAAGGACAUAAUAUGACCUAUGGAAAGACUGUACAGUUUGAUAAUCUCCUCAGGAUAAGUAGCAGGAUUACAUUCUGGAUCUUAGGGCUAAAGCAAUUAAUCAAUGUCACCAGCGCCCGAGGUACCUUUAGUCUAUAAGUAACUUCCCGUUCAUGAAAGAACACUGUAUUAGCAGUUAUAGGCUGUCUUAAAUCAUUCAAUAAUUUUGAAAGAUGUUAAAUCUUGUAAAAAUAUGACUUAAAAAAAUGUUCAGAAUAUCCAUUACUCAUCCACUAAUUGAAAAUAAUUGGAAUUUCUUUGGAAAAAUCAAAGUACCUUUUCCCUGGGUGGUUUUAAGUUGUGCUUUCCUCAAGUAAGAAAAAACGCUUGAAAUAUUGUCAAGAUUCCUUUAACGUACCACACAUAUCAAAACGCAAAAAAAAAGUGAUAUUUUUAAAGGCAAAAUUUGAAAUAUGUCAAAAUCAAAUAGACAAGAAAGUGAAAGGGGGCUCAUAAUGCCUAUCCUAUGAAACUGGGAUUAGAAAGUCACAACCACACAUUCUUACUGGAAAAUGUUCAAAAUGAAAUAUAUGUACAUUUAGUGUUUCUUCUUAAGAUUCCUAAUUCUGACAAGGUUCAGGUUCUGUUUUUAUCUCGUAGGACAAUUUAGCUUCCACUAAGUUUUCACAGCAUCCUAUGUGUUGUGAAGAAUACAUUUUUAGGUUAAGUCUCGAUAUUACUGAACCUAAAAACACUCAUUUAUGAAUAUGUUUAGAUCUCUCCCACGGUACUUAAAGACGGGCAUAACUCUCAUUCUCCCUAAUAACAAAAUCAUCAAAAGACAUGUACAAAAAACAAACAUAUGACAUAAAUCACCUUGUAAAGUAACAGCUUCAAACAGCGUUGGAGCAUAGAUGGAAGUCUAUGUGAUUUUACCCAGUACAAAUCUCUUUCACAGGAAAUAUAAAGUUGGGCAGCUUAAAAACACAAUCUGGAAGGAUAAGCUAUUAAGUCCCUGUAAGUCCUUUUACUCUGACUCAAAGAAAUAUGAUAAGAGCUAUUUCUAAUCCUUCUUACGCCAGUUUGUUGCUCCAACAUUUGCCCAUAUUUUGAUUUAUUCAUCUCGUGUAGGUAGCUGCUUUUUAAUACACAUCUUCACCCCAAACUUACACUGGCAAAUCUAGACUUCAACCUAGCUCCUGUCAACAUGAGUGAUAAGGCUCGGAUGGACUUCACACCCACAGCAAACAAAUCAGCUUAACUACACUGAACUAGUGUUAGAA